rnacentral:lncRNA from 1 species
AUGACUACACAACUGUCGGAAGCAUUUUUCAUGUGUUGCAUGGCAAACUUCCUGAAUCCAGUAGCAGCUGUUCUGGGAAACCAUGAAGACCAUUCUCGGCAUGCCCACUGGUUACUUUCUGAAUAACUACCCAGCAGGGAUAGCAGAACCGUUUUUAACAGAACAUACCUUCACUGCUAGGCAAGCAAUGCAUGUAACCUCUCUUGAUCUUAAAAUAUUCACUAAUGUCCAUAUGUUGUAUACCAAAGCAUUACCACCCAAGAAGGGGAGAAAAAGAUGUGUGUUGGAAGAAAGGUUGACUAAGUGACUAUGUGUCAGCAAAUGAGCCUCAAUUUAAAAAAAAGUGGAUAGGGGAGUGGAAGGGUGCUAGCAUAUCCUGCCCUUUGCAUCCUCUUCUUCCCAGAUAUGAAGAGUCCCACCUAAAUGUUAUUUCCACCCUGCAUUCUACCUUCUAUGCCUUACUGUACCCUCUUAAACUAUAAACCAAAGUAAAUCCCCUCCCCAAGCCUUAAACAACAUAGAGUAUGAAUCUACCACGUAUUCGGAGUUUAGUGGGCAGUUAAAUGUAUGAAUAGCAGUGCUAGGCUGGAAAAAAAAAAGCAUAGGUUUCCGUUGAAACUUCUGUGAGGAAGUGAUUGAAAAUUAUGAUAUGAAUAGCUAUACUAAAUGCAUUGUGGUUUUCUGCCAGCAUAGGAAGUAAUUAAAACCAUUUCUACCAGAUGAAGACUCUCUGGGGAAAAGGCAAUGAUGGUUAAGUAAAAUCUGAAAACAGAUGAUUUCCCAUUUAUCAGUCCAUUGACUCUCCUCCUAUAGCUUCCGAGUUAUGGCACUCCUUUAUAUUUUCAUUUCAGGGAGAAGCAUGGAAUAUUUUGAUAAUUUUGAGAUAUUAUAUCUUCGGAAAGAAAGGGAGAGUAUGAAAAUAACGCAGUUUGGCAGUAGACAUAAAUGGAAUUGAUUCAAUUAUCCCUUUAAAAGAAACAUUUUGCUUUUGUUCUUACUGGGGAAUGAAAUUCAUUUCCUUGUCCUUUACCUUUUAGUUCAUCCUCUAGGGAGCCACAUCACAGUUACAGAAAUGGACUCUGUAUCUUUAAUAAGACCCCAGUAUGAGUGACUAUUUCCCAGAUUUGCAGUUCAAACCAGCUAAAACGUGCAUACAAGCGAAAACAUUUCUUAACAAUUAUUUUUCUCAUCUUUGUGUGUUUUAUGGUCCAAUACUAUACUGUCAUAUAUGAUUUAGUAUCUUGUGUUACGUGUUUAGGCACAAUAGUUAUUUGUCUCUUGUUUUUGUGUUUGAGACAGGGUCUGUUUCUUAGGACACUUUCAACUCCUUCUGUAGCUAAGGAUGAUCUUGAACUUCUUCUCUCCCUAUCUUCGGUGCCUCACUUACAGUUGUGAGCCACAAAAUUUCUGGUUUAAUGAUGUAUUGGGGAGCAAGUCCAGAGCCUUAUAGAUGAUACAUAGACAGUAUGCCAACUAUAUCCUAAGCCUUUUUCCUUCUUCAAUAAAUAUUGUAUUCAUCUAAUACAGCUACACUCAACUAGGAUUUUUAAAAAUGUAGCUGUGAGGCCAUUAUGGUCUUGAAAACUGAAACUUUUAUACUGGUAUUUCUCUCAUGAAACAUUCUAACUCAGACUGUUUGAACAUGUUGACUAAUAUCACUUUGUCUCUCAAACCAUUUGACUUAUAUAUUUCUAAAAAUUGGACUACAUAAAAUACUCUGGUCAUUUAAGAUCUGCUUAGAUAGAAGAUGUCCCUUUUCAUGUAGUUGUAUUUAAAGCACAAAAAUAAACUGUUUGUUUUUGUUUGAGACAGGGUUUCUCUGUGUAGCCCUGGCUGUCCUGGAACUCACUCUGUUGACCAGGCUGGUCUUGAACUCAGAAAUCUGCCUGCCUCUGCCUCCCAAGUGCUGGGAUUAAAGGCGUGCACCACCACAGCCCUUCAUCUUUUGGUGUUUUUUUUGUUUUGUUUGUUUGUUUGUUUUUCAAACUCUUAUGAUGCCAGCAAGUAAAUAGUUUUCAGAUAAACUUGCUACACAGUACUGGAAUAUAAUUGAAGUCCAGCUCAUUUUGUUCUUUAUUUUUUAGAUGACAGAAUCAAUUUCAUAAUAAGUAUUUUAAAAUAUUAAACAGCACUCCUAAAGACAGAAAAUUAACAUUUAUAUUUGUUAUAUUAAUACUAGAAUCCUGCAUCUUAAAAACACUGAUUUUUGUCAAAGUUUAUUAGCUGAAUCAGAAAGUAAUAGAACAAUUUCUCAGUAUUCUGACAAAACUAAAUGCCCAGAUUUAAGCUUUUAGAUAAGGUCUUUGCUUAUCAUGGUGAUGGAUUUUCAGUAAUUUUCUGCUCUUUGAAUUAGGACACUUUUUUUAGUCUGCAGGUAGUUGGGGUGUUUUGAUUUACUGAGUGUUGUUUCUCUUGUGUCAAGUCUGUGAAUACCCUAUUUUAAAGUAUAAUAUUUAUAACAAUAAACAGUUCAGAAAC